GAAUAUUGGACAAUGGGCGAAAGCCUGAUCCAGCGACGCCGCGUGGGUGAAGAAGGCCUUCGGGUUGUAAAGCCCUUUAAGCCGGGACGAAAAAGCUGCACCUAACACGUUCGGCCUUUACGGUACCGGAAGAAUAAGCACCGGCUAACUCUGUGCCCGCAGCCGCGGUAAUACAGAGGGUGCAAGCGUUAAUCGGAUUUACUGGGCGUAAAGCGGGUGUAGGUGGGUCGCUAAGUCGGUUGUGAAAUCCCUGGGCUCAACCUGGGAAUUGCAGUCGAUACUGGCAAGCUCGAGUUCGGUAGAGGGCAGCGGAAUUCCCGGUGUAGCGGUGAAAUGCGUAGAUAUCGGGAGGAACAUCGAUGGCGAAAGCAACUGCCUGGGCCUGAACUGACACUGUGACACGAAAGCGUGGGGAGCAAAC
rnacentral:rRNA from 1 species